rnacentral:tmRNA from 1 species
GGGGAUGUUCCGGAAUUCGACUUAUGGUCGUAAGAUGUGCUUGCGUGUCGGAGAUGAUACUCGGCUCCGUAAAAAUGUAUCACAACAAACAUAAAUGGCGAAGAAUACGCUAUUGCUGCUUAAUUAACGCGGCACGUCAGCCCGCCGACUCCCAAUAGGCGGAAUCUGGCGUCGACAUUGGGAACAGGGAUUGCCGGCAUUUGUUCGGGUCGGCGGUCGCCAAAUUGCGGACAAUGCGUUCGGGACGGUAGUCGUAGCCCAAGCCCGAACAAAGACUAAAGUACGACUACACACGUAGAAGGUGCGUUUGAAAGCGAUAAGGACAGGGGUUCAACUCCCCUCAUCUCCACCA